AUACGGAGGGUGCAAGCGUUAUUCGGAAUCACUGGGCAUAAAGGACGCGUAGGCGGGUUGGCAAGUCAGAUGUGAAAUCCUACAGCUUAACUGUAGAACUGCAUUUGAAACUGCUAACCUAGAGUAUGGGAGGGGGAGAUGGAAUUAGUGGUGUAGGGGUAAAAUCCGUAGAUAUCACUAGGAAUACCGAAAGCGAAGGCGAUCUCCUGGAACAUAACUGACGCUAAGGCGUGAAAGCGUGGGGAGCAAACAGGAUUAGAAACCCUAGUAGUCC
rnacentral:rRNA from 1 species